rnacentral:rRNA from 1 species
GCGGUAAUUCCAGCUCCAAUAGCGUAUAUUAAAGUUGUUGCAGUUAAAAAGCUCGUAGUUGAACCUUGGGCCUGGCUGGCCGGUCCGCCUCACCGCGUGCACUGGUUCGGCCGGGCCUUUCCCUCUGGGGAACCGCAUGCCCUUCACUGGGUGUGGC